UACGUAGGCGGAAAAUUAAGUCAGUAGUGAAAUCCUGCAGCUUAACUGUAGAACUGUUAUUGAUACUGGUUUUCUUGAAUAUAGUUGAGGUAGGCGGAAUGUGCAAUGUAGCGGUGAAAUGCUUAGAUAUUACACAGAACACCGAUUGCGAAGGCAGCUUACUAAACUAUUAUUGACGCUGAGGUACGAAAGCGUGGGGAGCGAACAGGAUUAGAACCCUGGUAGUCC
rnacentral:rRNA from 1 species